rnacentral:rRNA from 1 species
AGAGUUUGAUCAUGGCUCAGAAUCAACGCUGGCGGCGCGCCUAACACAUGCAAGUCGAACGAGAAAGUGGAGCAAUCCAUGAGUAAAGUGGCGUACGGGUGAGUAACACGUGGAUAACCUGCCCCUUUGUGGGGAAUACCGUUGGGAAACCGACGACAAUACCGCAUAAGCUCGAGAGAGGAAAGCAGCAAUGCGCAGAGGGAGGGGUCCGCGGCCGAUUAGCUAGUUGGUAGGGUAAUGGCCUACCAAGGCUGUGAUCGGUAGCCGGCCUGAGAGGGCACACGGCCACACUGGCACUGAAACACGGGCCAGACUCCUACGGGAGGCAGCAGUGGGGAAUCUUGCACAAUGGGGGAAACCCUGAUGCAGCGACGCCGCGUGAGCGAUGAAGCCCUUCGGGGUGUAAAGCUCUUUCGGCAGGGAAGAUUAUGACGGUACCUGCAGAAGCAGCUGCGGCUAACUACGUGCCAGCAGCCGCGGUAAUACGUAGGCAGCAAGCGUUGUUCGGAGUUACUGGGCGUAAAGGGUGCGUAGGCGGUUCUGUAAGUAUGGUGUGAAAUCUCCCGGCUUAACUGGGAGGGUGCGCUAUAAACUGCGGGACUAGAGUGUGGGAGAGGGAAGUGGAAUUCCUGGUGUAGCGGUGAAAUGCGUAGAUAUCAGGAGGAACACCGGUGGUGUAAACGGCUUUCUGGACCAUAACUGACGCUGAGGCACGAAAGCGUGG